rnacentral:lncRNA from 1 species
AGGAGACGUAUGUCGCGUCAUGCGCCGAUAAAGCUUCGGAAGGGCGCACAAUCAUGAGUAUCAUGGGGAAGCUGGUGACCCUUCCUCACCAUCCAAAGCAAGGACGACCAUAAGAGAGAGAAAAACCUUUCAAGGACCUUCUGAUAACUGAAGUUAUGAUUGCAGCUGCUACAAACCGGUGCUGGCCGAAGGCAGAAUUGAAGCAGGUCUAGUUGAAAGCGGCUACGUGGCUUGCACAAGCCCAAUCCAAGUUGGACAAAAUGAAUCAGCCAUCAACACCAGCUACAAUAACAAUAUUCGACAUCGAUUGUGAAGAUGAACCUCUCGAAUAGAUAAGAAUAUAAUAGUAGUGACAGAAAAGAUCAUAAAACGUGUCUACAUGUUCAAUUUACUGAUAUCAUAAACAAUAAAUUAGUAAUUGAUUAUAA